rnacentral:rRNA from 1 species
AGAGUUUGAUCCUGGCUCAGGAUAAACGUUGGCGGUGUGCUUUAUGCAUGCAAGUCGUACGAGGCUAUAGUUUUCGGAUUAUAGUUUAGUGGCAAAUGGCUGAGUAAUACAUAGGUAACCUGCCUGUGAGUGGUGGAUAACUUGCUGAAAGGCAAGCUAAUACAGCAUGUGGUGAACAAGGAUUUCUUGUUUAUCAAAGCCUUCGGGCGCUCGCAGAGGGGCCUAUGCCUGAUUAGCUAGUUGGUGAGGUAACGGCUCACCAAGGCUUUGAUCAGUAGCUGGUCUGAGAGGAUGGUCAGCCAGAUGGGGACUGAGAUACGGCCCCAACUCCUACGGGAGGCAGCAGCAAGGAAUAUUGGGCAAUGGGCGAAAGCCUGACCCAGCGACACCGCGUGAGGGAUUAAGGCCUUCGGGUUGUAAACCUCUUUUCUCGAGGAAGAAGCUCUGACGGUACUUGAGGAAUAAGCCACGGCUAACUACGUGCCAGCAGCCGCGGUAAUACGUAGGUGGCAAACGUUGUCCGGAUUUAUUGGGCGUAAAGAGAGUGUAGGCGGCUUAUUAAGUCAAGUGUUAAAUCUUCUGACUCUAUCAGGAGCUGCAUUUGAUACUGGUAGGCUUGAGUGCAGCAGAGGAAAACGGAAUUCCCAGUGUAGCGGUGAAAUGCGUUGAUAUUGGGAAGAACACCAGAGGCGAAGGCGGUUUUCCAGGCUGUGUCUGACGCUGAGACUCGAAAGCGUGGGGAGCGAAGCGGAUUAGGUACCCGCGUAGUCCACGCCUUAAACGGUGGACGUUAGGUAUGGGAAGUAUCGACCCUUUCUGUGCCGUAGCUAACGCUUUAAAUGUCCCGCCUGGGGAGUACGGUCGCAAGGCUAAAACUCAAAGGAAUUGACGGGGGUCCGCACAAGCAGCGGAGCGUGUGGUUUAAUUCGAUGAUACACGAAGAACCUUACCAGGGUUUGACAUGUCAGAAGUAGGAAGCCGAAAGGUUUACGACCUGUAUCCAAUCAGGAACUGUCACAGGUGUUGCAUGCUGUCGUCAGCUCGUGCCGUGAGGUGUUGGGUUAAGUCCCGCAACGAGCGCAACCCUUGUUCUAUGUUAAUUUCUCAUAGAAGACUGCCUUGUACAGCAAGGAGGAAGAGGAGGAUGACGUCAAGUCAGCAUGGCCUUUAUGCCCUGGGCUACACACACGCUACAAUGGGUAAUACAGAGGGUUGCCAAAGAGCGAUCUGGAGCUAAUCCCUUAAAAUUAUCCUCGGUUCAGAUUGUAGGCUGAAACCGCCUGCAUGAAGUCGGAGUUGCUAGUAAUCGCAGGUCAGCUAUACUGCGGUGAAUACGUUCUCGGACCUUGUACACACCGCCCGUCACGUCGUGGAAGUUGGAAACACCUGAAGUCAAUGUGUUAACUUGCUUAGGUAAGAAAUAGUUGUUGAAGGUGGAGCUGAUAACUGUGGCGAAGUCGUAACAAGGCA